ensembl:lncRNA
GUAUGAAAAUAGUACUUUGACAUUAGGGAUCUUGACCUUGUAUGUAUAUAUUGGUGUUUGAGUGAGUUUAUUAACAUAUGUCUUUCCUAAGGAGUGUAUGUAAAUUACUAUAUUUGUAGUAAAUAAUGUCUCCUUAAAGUUUUAUUUUUAUUCUACUUUAAGAAUACUGAAGUGGAAUUUUAGUGUUUCAAAUUUAUUUAAAAGAAAUUUUAAAACACCAUGUCUCUUUAUUUAAGGCUAUUGUCGUAAUUUUAGAGAGUAUUUUAUAUACUCAGAAUUUUUUCUGAAGUAAGUUAAGUAAUAAAAGUGAUUUUAGAUAUGUAUCUUGUAUAUCAUUUGGUAAGAUUUUGAGGGCUUGGGGUUCCCUUGUGGUGCAGCAGGUUAAGUAUCUGGCAUUGUCACUGCAUCCACCUGGGUUACUGCUGUGGCACAGGUUUGAUUCCUAGCCUGGGAACUUCCACAUUCUGCAGGCGCGGGCAAAAAAGAAAAAGAUUUUGAGGGCUUGUUAUUUGCCAGGAAAUGUGUUAAGUGGGACCCCAUAAUCUCUCUCAUUUAAUUCUUCUGACAAGCUCAUUAAAUAGAAACAGUUAUCAUCCACAAUUUUACAGAUCAAGAAACUGAGGCUGGAAAUGUCAGAAAAUUGUCUACUGUCUUAUACUUAGUCUGCUCUCAGUUUGGUUUAUGUUUGUUCUUAAGGAUUUGGGAUUACGCAUUUCUAGUUUUAGUAAAUUCUUGAUUUAUCAUUUAGUUGUUCAUUUGGUUCAAUACUCAAAUGUCAUGUAGUCAAGGAAAUUAGGUACUUUAGGCAAAGAACUAGGAUAGAAUUCAGACUAUAUAUCCUAUAUAAUAAUAAUAAUUUCAAUAAUUUUGAAAUAAGCAGAUCUUUAUUUUACUGUUUUUAACUUAGAGUUUGUUAAUGAGUCUGAAUUUUUUACUUUUAAUUUUUUUUAAAUAGAGUUGAAAUUAUCAAACCAUCUUUUUAAUUUUUAGAAAGGGAAAAUUGAGCUUUAGAGUGAUUUUUUUUUUUUUUCUUUUUCUUUUCUUUUUUUUAGGGCCGCACCCACAGCAUAUGGAGGUUCCCAUCCUGGCUAGGGGUCACAUCAGAGCUGUAGCUGCUGGCCUACGCCAUAGCCACAGCAAUGCAGGAUCCGAGAUGUGUCUGCAGCCUACACCACAGCUCAAUGCAACACUGGAUCCUUAACCCACUGAACAAGGCCAGGGAUCAAACCUGCGUCCUUAUGGAUGCUAGUCAGGUUUGUUUCUGCUGAGCCACAACAGGAACUCCUAGAGCGAUUUUAUUCAUAGAAAUAUUUAUGACCAAUUGUAGUAUAGUAGAUGAAUGUAUAAAUUAGUAUGGCUGGUACUUUUAAAAAAUUCCGGUAUUUAUAUAGCCAAAGAAUAUUGAUCCUUUUGAGGUCAUCAACUUGGGAAGAUGUGUACAUCCAGAGCUACUGACAUUACAUGAUUCCUUUAAUGAAUACCUUUAGAGACUUUGAGGUAGUCUGCUUCUCAUCCUUAAUGGCAAAUAUUUAUCUUCAACGGUGAAUUUGAGUUUUAGAGAUGUAAAAAGUAAUUUAGAACUUAGUUUAGGAAACUAAGAUUUUAUAUUUUUUUUUUGGUGCAUCAGAUUCUGUGUUGAGUGCCUUACAUUUGUAAUGUGUAAUAUUAUUGAGUAAUUUCCAUGUGCUGAAAACUGUGCCGGGGCUUUAUGUGGAUUUUCAUGAAUCUUCAAGGUAUAGUAUGACUCUGGUUGUAUUUAUUACCCUAAGAUAUCUGAGAAAACUGAGGUAUAGAAUGAUUAAGUGACUAAGGUCACACAGCUAAAGAGUGGAAGAAAAUAGAGAAAGGACUCCAGAUGCUUUACCCAUCAACCUUAACCACUGUCAUGAUUUAAACUGCCCAACUACCCAGUGAGGUUAGUGAUAAUGUCCUCAUUUUACAGACAAGGAAAUUGAGGCUCAUCAUGUUUAAACUUGUCCAAGGUAGCAAAUCUAGCGAGUAUUAGAGACAGAAUUAGACAUACUUGAGUUGGAAUCUUAGAACUUAUGUUCUUUCCAUUCUACCACCCUGCCUGUUCAAAAUUUGUAAUACUUUUUAUUAAUUUUUUUUAAUAAAAAGGGUAGGCUUAGUUAUAAAGUAGUGAGACUUGUUUUUCUUGUGUGACUUAUAAAGAGAUCCUGAAGAUAAUUUAAAAAGAAUUCUAAACAUUUUUGGUUAUUUAUACCAAUUCAUUAUUUGAUUAUAGUCUUUUAAAACACAUCUUGUUAUUUUAUAUCAUAUAUAAUAUAUGGAAUGUUUCCGUGUGCAAAUAAGGAUUUAAAUAGUAUAUUGUAGUUUAAAUAUGUGCAUGCUGUAUCUGUGGAAUAGAUAGAUAACUUUUGAAAAUGUGGAAAAACCACUUUAUUUUCAUAAUAUUAUUGUUACUCUUGAGUUAUUUCAUGCUUAUUUAAUAGCUUAAUAGCAUGCUUAAUAGCAUGAAAAAUUCUUAAGAAUACAUUAAAUUUUUAACAUAAUUUAUGUAGGUAAAUUGUUUUGCCAUCAUACCUGUAACAUAACAUUUAACAUGAAUGUACCAAACUCUUAAAGUUUUCUUUUGUAUAUGUUUGCCUUUUGACAGAAGGAAAAACUUUUUCAGGAUGCAAAAACAUGAAAAUAGUGGAGUUCCCAUCUGGCAUAGUGGACAACGAAUCUGACUAGGAAUCACGAGGUUGUGGGUUCGAUCCCUGACCUUGCUCAGUGGGUUAAGGAUCCAGCAUUGUCGUGAGCUGUGGUGUAGGUUGCAGAUGAGGCUUGGAUCCUGCGUUGCUGUGGCUCUGGUGUAGGCUGGUGGCUACAGCUCCGAUUUGACCCGUAGUCUGGGACCUCCAUAUGCCACGGGAGCGGCCCUAGAAAAGGCAAAAAGAC